UUGUUUCGGCAACAUGAGCACAUAUACUAGAAUUAGAACCAUGCAGAGAAGAUUAGCAAGGCCCAGGUAUGAGGAUGACAUGAAAAUUCAUGAAACAUUAAUAAAAAAA
rfam:Tupaia chinensis contig115186, whole genome shotgun sequence.